rnacentral:lncRNA from 1 species
GUGAUUGGUGGGUUCUGCCGCGGCCGGGAAGUUCGAACAGAAGUCUGGGGAAGAGCCGGCGAAGAGCAAAGAGAUAAUACAGUACUCCCAGCUAUAGCAAGCGGCAGUUAUGGAGCAUGCGCAGCAGCAGGGGCGGCCGCAGGUCGCCGUUCAAUAAUACUCAAGGGAUUUGUACAGCCCUGUAGGAGACACCUCCAGAGAAAGUAACAGCUCUCAAUUGAUUAGCUGAGAAGCCUCAGGGGCUGGAUCCUGACAUGAACCAGACACCUCCAGAAUUCUAUCCCAAGCAAAAGAUUAUUUCAAGGCCAGAACUCACUCCCUGCUGGAGACUGACUACAAGAUCCACUGAGAUUGAUGUGUAACCUGAUUGGGCCCACAGUGAUGCUAGCCCCUUCACCAGAUGGAACAAUAAUUCCAGACAAGCCAUCAGAGCAGGUCACACCACUUGACACCUUCUCGCCCCCUUGCCUCUCCUGCAUUCCAAACCCCUCUCUUUAAAAUCCCCAUGUUCCCUCCGUAAACUGGGCAGUGCCAAUUGUUGGAAAGAAUUCUGGCACUCUUUUCCUUCUUAGCAUGGAUAAAAAGAUUCACCCUCUUUUUAUCACACCUCACUCUUGUUAUUUUGGCUUCUUUCUACAAGUGGUGAGCAACCGGGCCCCCUUUGCUGGUUAUAGUAUGAACUAUUUUAUUUUUUUUAAUCUACAAUAAAAUAAAAUACAUUCAUUAGA